GAGGAAGACUUCGGUCUGUAAAGCUCUGUUAUGUGGAAAAAUGGUUAGUGGUCUAAUAGGCCAUUGAUUUGAUGGUACACAUAGAGGAAGCACCGGCUAACUUCGUGCCAGCAGCCGCGGUAAUACGAAGGGUGCAAGCGUUGUUCGGAUUUAUUGGGCGUAAAGCGCGCGUAGGCGGACCUGCAAGUCAGAUGUGAAAUCUCGGGGCUCAACCCCGAAACUGCGUCUGAAACUACAGGUCUAGAAUCUUGGAGGGGGAAGGGGAAUUUCACAUGUAGGGGUAAAAUCCGUAGAUAUGUGAAGGAACACCAGAGGCGAAGGCGCCUUCCUGGACAAGUAUUGACGCUGAGGCGCGAAAGCGUGGGGAUCAAACAGGAUUAGAUACCCUGGUAGUCCACGCUGUAAACGAUGAAUACUAGAUAUUGCAGGAUUUGACCCCUGCAGUGUCGUAGCUAACGCGUUAAGUAUUCCGCCUGGGAAGUACGGUCGCAAGACUAAAACUCAAAGGAAUUGACGGGGGCCCGCACAAGCGGUGGAUUAUGUGGUAUAAUUCGAAGCAACGCGCAGAACCUUACCUAGGCUUGAAAUCCCCG
rnacentral:rRNA from 1 species